AUCACGUUUCUUAGGUUUAAUCUUUCCGGGCUAAAUAUUUCUCAGUUUGCAGCUGAUUAGUAUUCUAUCACUAGUCACUUUAAUCCAAUGAGCAGAGCGGCUAAUUAAGCAGACGGAAGGGUUAGAUUGAAGACAGAAUGUUGAGAAGCCAAACAGCGGCAAUUAUUAAGACUAUAAGCCUCACACUGAGAACUAGCUAGUAAAACACAAGAGAGCACUAAAAAGAAAUGCAUGAGGUUGCCGCUGCUUUGUUCCAGUCUCACAGGAAAUAGUUCGGCCAAUGCUUCACAUUAAUGGCACUCACUACUUAGACCUUGUGGCGCGGGGUUCUGUUCAUGGCCGAAUGGAUGGAGCGCACAAUGACUGAGAGCGCCUCGUUCACAAAGAUAAAGACUAUACUAACCUGCGGAAGGUUGGACGGGCCCUAUUCUGUUUCCUUUACACGGAAAUCACUGGAAAUACUAAUGAGAGACAAAAGGCAAUUAGACAAACAGGACCUUUUUGCGCUACUGAUGGCUGGUUCGUGGCUUCAGGGGCAUAACUUUCACACC